GCUCAUCACUUAAAAAGUUAUAAGAUUUGAUUUAUCAUUAUUAAACAAAGGAUGUGAGAUCGGAAAGAGGCGCCAAGAGCACCUCGGGAUCAUACAGAGCUGAGAGCUCAGAAAUUAACUCAAGGAUUAAAAGGCCGAGCUCACAGGUCGAAUUAGUCCAGCUCGGAAAACAUAACUUGAGAGCUCGGUCGGCUAAAGGAGGCUCAAAGCUCAAUCCAUCAAGAAAAGACCGAGCUCACAGGUCGGUUAGUCAAGCUCGGAAGAGUAAACCGCCCGUCCAAUUGGUUAAGUAGGCCUGAGGCUCGGCUCAUCGACUAAAAGAAGAAGUUCGCGAAAUACGGUCAAUUCAGCUCGGAAAAAACGGAACAAAAGUUAGUUGGCUAAAGCUACGAAGAAGAGCAGUAUCAAUACUUCAUCCAUGG
rnacentral:lncRNA from 1 species